GGACGAGAAGCUUGCUUCUCUGAUGUUAGCGGCGGACGGGUGAGUAACACGUGGAUAACCUACCUAUAAGACUGGGAUAACUUCGGGAAACCGGAGCUAAUACCGGAUAAUAUUUUGAACCGCAUGGUUCAAAAGUGAAAGACGGUCUUGCUGUCACUUAUAGAUGGAUCCGCGCUGCAUUAGCUAGUUGGUAAGGUAACGGCUUACCAAGGCAACGAUGCAUAGCCGACCUGAGAGGGUGAUCGGCCACACUGGAACUGAGACACGGUCCAGACUCCUACGGGAGGCAGCAGUAGGGAAUCUUCCGCAAUGGGCGAAAGCCUGACGGAGCAACGCCGCGUGAGUGAUGAAGGUCUUCGGAUCGUAAAACUCUGUUAUUAGGGAAGAACAUAUGUGUAAGUAACUGUGCACAUCUUGACGGUACCUAAUCAGAAAGCCACGGCUAACUACGUGCCAGCAGCCGCGGUAAUACGUAGGUGGCAAGCGUUAUCCGGAAUUAUUGGGCGUAAAGCGCGCGUAGGCGGUUUUUUAAGUCUGAUGUGAAAGCCCACGGCUCAACCGUGGAGGGUCAUUGGAAACUGGAAAACUUGAGUGCAGAAGAGGAAAGUGGAAUUCCAUGUGUAGCGGUGAAAUGCGCAGAGAUAUGGAGGAACACCAGUGGCGAAGGCGACUUUCUGGUCUGUAACUGACGCUGAUGUGCGAAAGCGUGGGGAUCAAACAGGAUUAGAUACCCUGGUAGUCCACGCCGUAAACGAUGAGUGCUAAGUGUUAGGGGGUUUCCGCCCCUUAGUGCUGCAGCUAACGCAUUAAGCACUCCGCCUGGGGAGUACGACCGCAAGGUUGAAACUCAAAGGAAUUGACGGGGACCCGCACAAGCGGUGGAGCAUGUGGUUUAAUUCGAAGCAACGCGAAGAACCUUACCAAAUCUUGACAUCCUUUGACAACUCUAGAGAUAGAGCCUUCCCCUUCGGGGGACAAAGUGACAGGUGGUGCAUGGUUGUCGUCAGCUCGUGUCGUGAGAUGUUGGGUUAAGUCCCGCAACGAGCGCAACCCUUAAGCUUAGUUGCCAUCAUUAAGUUGGGCACUCUAAGUUGACUGCCGGUGACAAACCGGAGGAAGGUGGGGAUGACGUCAAAUCAUCAUGCCCCUUAUGAUUUGGGCUACACACGUGCUACAAUGGACAAUACAAAGGGCAGCGAAACCGCGAGGUCAAGCAAAUCCCAUAAAGUUGUUCUCAGUUCGGAUUGUAGUCUGCAACUCGACUACAUGAAGCUGGAAUCGCUAGUAAUCGUAGAUCAGCAUGCUACGGUGAAUACGUUCCCGGGUCUUGUACACACCGCCCGUCACACCACGAGAGUUUGUAACACCCGAAGCCGGUGGAGUAACCUUUUAGGAGCUAGCCGUCGAAGGUGGGACAAAUGAUUGGGGUGAAGUCGUAACAAGGUAGCCGUAUCGGAAGGUGCGGCUGGAUCACCUCCUUUCUA
rnacentral:rRNA from 1 species